rnacentral:rRNA from 1 species
GAUGAACGCUGGCGGCGUGCCUAAUACAUGCAAGUCGAGCGAACAGGCGAGGAGCUUGCUCCUCUGACGUUAGCGGCGGACGGGUGAGUAACACGUGGAUAACCUACCUAUAAGACUGGGUUAACUUCGGGAAACCGGAGCUAAUACCGGAUAAUAUAUUGAACCGCAUGGUUCAAUAGUGAAAGACGGUUUUGCUGUCACUUAUAGAUGGAUCCGCGCCGCAUUAGCUAGUUGGUAAGGUAACGGCUUACCAAGGCAACGAUGCGUAGCCGACCUGAGAGGGUGAUCGGCCACACUGGAACUGAGACACGGUCCAGACUCCUACGGGAGGCAGCAGUAGGGAAUCUUCCGCAAUGGGCGAAAGCCUGACGGAGCAACGCCGCGUGAGUGAUGAAGGUCUUCGGAUCGUAAAACUCUGUUAUUAGGGAAGAACAAAUGUGUAAGUAACUAUGCACGUCUUGACGGUACCUAAUCAGAAAGCCACGGCUAACUACGUG